rnacentral:rRNA from 1 species
AUUGAACGCUGGCGGCAGGCCUAACACAUGCCAGUCGAGCGGAUGAAGUGAGCUUGCUCCUGGAUUCAGCGGCGGACGGGUGAGUAAUGCCUAGGAAUCUGCCUGGUAGUGGGGGAUAACGUCCGGAAACGGGCGCUAAUACCGCAUACGUCCUGAGGGAGAAAGUGGGGGAUCUUCGGACCUCACGCUAUCAGAUGAGCCUAGGUCGGAUUAGCUAGUUGGUGGGGUAAAGGCCUACCAAGGCGACGAUCCGUAACUGGUCUGAGAGGAUGAUCAGUCACACUGGAACUGAGACACGGUCCAGACUCCUACGGGAGGCAGCAGUGGGGAAUAUUGGACAAUGGGCGAAAGCCUGAUCCAGCCAUGCCGCGUGUGUGAAGAAGGUCUUCGGAUUGUAAAGCACUUUAAGUUGGGAGGAAGGGCAGUAAGUUAAUACCCUGCUGUUUUGACGUUACCAACAGAAUAAGCACCGGCUAACUUCGUG